rnacentral:lncRNA from 1 species
CGGCCGUCCACCCCUCCCUCUUCUCCUCAGGGCCCGCCGCCGCUCCCUCGCCUUGUAGAGGGCGGCCCGAGCGCUUCUCUGUGCCGCAGCCCGUCCUGUCCGCCUCUGGGGCAUCGCGCUGUGAGGGAAAUAUAAAACGAAGCCUUAGAAGACAAGAUUCGUUUUGCUGCUGAAGUAAAAGAUACAAACGAGGGUUUGAAUUCUUGUGUGGUGUAUUCUAGCUUUAUUUUUAGGGCCAACUGAAAACUUCCCUCGUUUUGGAAGAGUUAAAAGGAUUUUUUAAUUUCAGGUGUGGAAAGCUGUCUGAGUAAAACGCCCCAGCAGGGCAACGGGCUGCUCACUGUUGGCUUCAGUUAGUUGUCAAUCAGUGGUGCAACUCGGUUUUAGUGUUACAUUCACUGUGCAAAACGAUGUAUUUUUGCAAAUAUGUGGGAUUUAAUUGUUGGCGAGAAACGUUUUGGUGAUCAGAUCAGGACAAAAAUGUCUUAAGACAG